AUACAGAGGGUGCAAGCGUUAAUCGGAAUUACUGGGCGUAAAGCGCGCGUAGGCGGUUUAAUCAGUCGGAUGGGAAAGCCCCGGGCUCAACCUGGGAACUGCAUUCGAUACUGUUAAGCUAGAGUAUGGUAGAGGGAAGUGGAAUUCCAGGUGUAGCGGUGAAAUGCGUAGAUAUCUGGAGGAACAUCAGUGGCGAAGGCGACUUCCUGGACCAAUACUGACGCUGAGGUGCGAAAGCGUGGGGAGCAAACAGGAUUAGAAACCCUAGUAGUCC
rnacentral:rRNA from 1 species